rnacentral:rRNA from 1 species
AUUGAACGCUGGCGGCAGGCCUAACACAUGCAAGUCGAGCGGCAGCGGGAAAGUAGCUUGCUACUUUUGCCGGCGAGCGGCGGACGGGUGAGUAAUGCCUGGGAAAUUGCCCAGUCGAGGGGGAUAACAGUUGGAAACGACUGCUAAUACCGCAUACGCCCUACGGGGGAAAGCAGGGGACCUUCGGGCCUUGCGCGAUUGGAUAUGCCCAGGUGGGAUUAGCUAGUUGGUGAGGUAAUGGCUCACCAAGGCGACGAUCCCUAGCUGGUCUGGGAGGAUGAUCAGCCACACUGGAACUGAGACACGGUCCAGACUCCUACGGGAGGCAGCAGUGGGGAAUAUUGCACAAUGGGGGAAACCCUGAUGCAGCCAUGCCGCGUGUGUGAAGAAGGCCUUCGGGUUGUAAAGCACUUUCAGCGAGGAGGAAAGGUUGAUGCCUAAUACGUAUCAACUGUGGUGUUACUCGCAGAAGAAGCACCGGCUAACUCCGUGCCAGCCGCCGCCGUAAGAC